CGGAGAGAGAGGUCACCCGCUCAGGCCGGGCCUUGCAAAACACAGUUAUUUAAAGAGUUGUGCAAGGCCGGGGCCCGCGGGUGGCGAAAGGGGCCCCUCACUCCACCCCGGGGGAGGGCGGGGGAGGGCGGGGCGGAGAGCUGGGGAGGGGGCUCGGGGAGUCGGGACAGGGGCGCCCGCCCCCCCCCCCCCCCCCCCCCCGCCCGGAGGAAGUGAGCCGAGCAGAACUGAAGAAGAAGAAAUAAGACGACAAAAACCCCAGUCCGGAUUUCAAAGGCUUCUUGGAAAGCGGCCGAUUUGCAUGGGUGGGGGGGGCAACCCCUCCGGCCGGGGCGACUAAAAACGGAAGAUUAUUGACAAACCCGCCGCCUGGGGUCGGCCGCCGAACGUUGGAUUGACAAACGCGCGCUCCCCGGGCUUCCUGCGCCCGCUUUUGUGUCUGGGGGGCACUGGAUGGGGGGGGAGGCGGGGGGGCUUUUCCCGGGGAUCCCCGCCAGAGAGCCGGGGCCCCGGGCCGAACCCACCCCCUUAUCCCGGGCGCGGGGACCUGGGGACCGUGGUGUCCCCUCCAGGGGCCCCCUUCUGCCCGGGAGCCGACACUUUAUAAAUAAACCGCCCGGGCUGGGGAGGGUCGCCAGGGAACGGCCUUCCGCACCCGGCGCUCCCACUCCGCGCCCUCGGGGCUCUCGAAUAAAACACCCGAUUCCGGGGAGAAAAAAAUGAAAUAAGAACCGGGAGCGCAGCCCCCCGCGCGCGCCGAGAGACCAUUUCCUUCCGCUGGGGAGGGGGGAGCGCGCGCUCGCGACCCCCGAUCGCCCCCGCGCGUCCCCGGCGCAAUACGGUAGGGGGUGAGGUCUCCAAGGCGGGGGCGCCGAGCAAACUGCCCCAACUCCGACCCCCUAGGAUCGCCUUCCCGGCGCUGGACCCCCCACCCACGUCGCUGCCCAACUUUGGGGACCCCGCUCAUUGGUUUCCACGGCGCGCUGCGCCCACCCGAGACCGGAACGCGCGGUUUAAAAGGCCAGUGCGCGCGCCCCCCCCAAGCCUCACCGCGCGGGGCCCGCUCGGGGGGCGCAGGGCCCGCUCGGGGGGCGCAUGCCCCGCGCUGGCGUCCGGCCCUGCCCCGGCCGCGCCUGGCCUCCCGCCCGGGCCGCGAGCUGCGCGCUGCUGGCUGCCGGCCGCCGCCGGGUUUGUGCCGCGCGCCGACUCACCGAGCCGCCAGCCGAGUCCGCGUCUACACCCCCAUCCGACCCGAUUGGUAAAAGGCUCCCCGCGCGCGGCCUCCCCCGCCCCUCCCCUCCCCCCGCCGGCGCGCUCACCGCCCCGCAGACAAAUCACCGGGUGACAAAUCGCUCUCAGAUGCAAAUACCUCGCCGGUGAUUCAGCGCCGCGGCCCGGGACGCGGGGAGGGGUCUCGGGAGGCCCCCUCCCCCUUCCCCGAAGCCCCCUCGCGCCCCGCGCUCGGUCCGGCGACGCGCCACCGGCCCCGGGGCUGUUGGGGAGGGGGGGGAAGACUGGACGGAAAUUUUCAAGUCGCGGCCCCUUUAAAUGAUAAUAAAUAAUAAAAGGAAGGGGAACAGCGACGCGGGACGCCCCGCCCCCUGCCUAGGGAAGGUGGGCAAAGUGCGCGCCGCGGCCCCGAGCGCACAGGGCGCCCAGGGCGCGGGCGGGGCUGGGAGCGCCCGCGGGGGAGGGGAGGGGGGCUGGGCCUCCGCCCGGGCGGCCGGGGAAGGGUGGGGGCCUCGAGCCGGGUCGACGACCCCCUCCCCCAUCUCACCGAGCACCUAGGAGGGGCCUGCCGGGCUCGGAGUUUCACCCCUGCCCCUUAGACGCGGCGCCCGGCAGCCGAGCCCCGGUUUGCAGCCCCAGGAGGGAGCUGGGAAUUGAUACAGACUUGCUGGCUCCACUGGGGUGGGCAGCAGGCCCAGGUUCCAGCUGCCUCCUGGCUGUGUGAUCUUAGUCGCACCUCCGGGCCUUUGCACUGGCUGUUCCCGCUGCCUGAACCGCCCUCCCCGGGUCACCCCAUGGCCGGUGCCUUCUCCCGACUCAAACUGGAACGUCCGCCCCUCGGAGCGCCCCCCCACGACCUCCCAGAGUCCCCAUCACCCCAUCACGCCGCCCUCCUUUAUCUCCAUCGAAAGGCUUCUGUUUCAAAACAGCUCUAUUUACUUAACCUACUUGGCCCUGCUGGCGGCUGGGUCCCCAGCCUUGAGGCUGGCCUGGUACACAGUGGAGCUCAAUACAUGUUGUUUGAUGGAUGAAUCCGUGUGUCCCCGCCCCUCCUCCUUCCUCCCACGGGAUUUUGGGUGUCUGUCUACACAGAGGUGCAGGGCAAACCGAACUACUCGCCAUCUCGGUGUCCCAAAGCAAAAAA
ensembl:lncRNA